GACAGAGGGUGCAAACGUUGUUCGGAAUUACUGGGCGUAAAGCGUGUGUAGGCGGUUUGCUAAGUCGGGUGUGAAAGCCCCGGGCUCAACCCGGGAAGUGCACUCGAAACUGGCAAGCUAGAGUACUGGAGAGGUUGGUGGAAUUCUCGGUGUAGAGGUGAAAUUCGUAGAUAUCGAGAGGAACACCCGUGGCUAAGGCGGCUCUCUAGUACGGUACUGACGCUGAGACGCGAAAGCGUGGGGAGCGAACAGG
rnacentral:rRNA from 1 species